UACGAAGGGGGCUAGCGUUGCUCGGAAUCACUGGGCGUAAAGGGUGCGUAGGCGGGUCUUUAAGUCAGGGGUGAAAUCCUGGAGCUCAACUCCAGAACUGCCUUUGAUACUGAGGAUCUUGAGUUCGGGAGAGGUGAGUGGAACUGCGAGUGUAGAGGUGAAAUUCGUAGAUAUUCGCAAGAACACCAGUGGCGAAGGCGGCUCACUG
rnacentral:rRNA from 1 species